rnacentral:lncRNA from 1 species
UUCUUGCAUAAUUAUGAUGUGUUUUUGUUCUUCCCAAUUAAACUUUGCAUAAUUAUGAUGUGUUUUUGCUCUUUCCAAUUAAAUUUAACAUAAACUAACAAGUAAUAGCGACUAAAGGACAAGCUAAAAAAUAUUUUAAACAAGAAAUGAAUGGAGAAACACCCUUGAAAAUGCUCAAACCGUGACUACCAUAAAGACAGCAUGUUGUCGUCACUUUUGGGAGCAAUGGUGUAAACAAAAAAUGCUAAACAAAAACAUGAACAAUCAUACUUUAAAUUAAAAACUGAAUUAAGUUACUAAAGGGAAAGUAAAAACAUGAAACUAAACAACAAAAGCAGUAACAAAAAUAUAAGGGAUGAAGUGUCAUGGAGGGCUCAAACCGUGACUGCCAUGGAGAAUAGGCAGUGCGGUUUGGCCCUCUUCCAAGCUUGUUUUGUGUGUUUAAACCAUCAACUUUUCAUAUAAAAUCAUAUAUUAGAUAAGGAAAAUAAAGGAAGAUGAAAUUGGGACAAAAUACAAAGGAAAAAGCUAAUAGAAAGAUGAUAAAUCAGUAGCCAAACCGCUGCUACUUGGAGAAAGCAAAACAGAGCAGUAAAAAAAUGGAGUCCCGUUUGGUUCAGUUCCUCCCUCUUUUUACAGCAGCAACGUACCGUUUUUGGCAGCUUCCUAGGAGAUUUUUUUAUGGCCAAAUGGUCUUGCAAGGUGGAGCCAUGCCAGCUGCCAAAGUUGAAAAACAAAUUUGAAAAACCGAAACCAAAUCAUGUAGCUUCUUUGACUUUUCUCACACUAUAAUCACCUAACACCACCAAUUGAAGACUUGGAGGAGGCAAGAAAAUCUUGACAAAAAGCCACGGUUUCGUUACUUUUUCUCCUUCCUUUCACGCAUGGAUGACAUCUUCACUGGGCCAUUCUUCUUUGACAAUUGAGACCAAGCUAGCACUUUGUCUAUACCCUUCAAGAAGGCCAAAACCGUGUACAUGAAAGAGGAAAACAAAGGGAGCGUCAAGGGACUUCAAACACGCGCAGGCAAGGUAUAAAAUUCCAUGCAUUUUUUCUUCUUCCAUGCGCACCAUGCACCAAUUGUCUUUAAGUCCUUAAAAUUUCUUAACCUUUUUAAUUUUGCCCUACAAUUGAGAGAAUUACAACAUUAGGUGGAAAUAUGGAUUAAUUCACAACAAAUAAGUGAAAAUUAAGUAGGGAUGUAUUAUAAUUAAGCUUAAAAAUCCUAUGAUAAUUUAUAAAAAAUAAAAUUAUCACAACCCCAAACUUAAUCUUUUACUUGUCCUCAAGCAAAACAAAAGUUAUGUUAGAGCCAAUUCAACUUCUUAAAAAUCAAUCUACAAUGAUUUUCACCAAGAUUGCAAAAUGACUAUAGCUUAAAGAAAAUCAUAAAUAUUGGCUAAUACAAGACUUAUUCAAAAACAAGUUACUACUAAUUGAAGUUCCAUUAUGUGUGCAAUGUCCAUCACACUUCAUCACAUGAAAUUUGGUUGUGAUUAUGCAACCAAAAAAUCAAACACAGCAUCAUCAAAGAAUGAACAUAUUUCAUAAGUUUGUCUUUC